AGGCUCAGCAGGCCCCACGCUGCUGGCCGCCGCUGCCACCCCUGUCUCCCGCGCUGCCCGCGGCUGUGGGGACGCCAUGCCCCUACCCAGGCCCGGAGACUAACCCCAAACCCGCACCAUCUCCGGCGGACCCCAGGGAUCCGCCCCAGCCCAACAGGUCAACCUGGGAAUCAUUAACAAGAGUCUCUGACAUGGCGAAGAAGGAGGAUGGGGAACCUGGGACUCACAGAGGCAGUUUCACGUGUCCAAGACCCCAGCCAGGAAAGGGU